rnacentral:rRNA from 1 species
CGUCUAUAUACGUAUAGCAUAUCAAUAAGCGGAGGAAAAGAAACUAACAAGGAUUCCCCUAGUAACGGCGAGUGAAGCGGGAAGAGCUCAAAUUUGAAAUCUUCAAGGGUUUCCCUUGACGAAUUGUAGUUUAAAGAAGUGUUUUCUGUUAGAGAGGUGGUAAAAGUUCUUUGGAAUAGGACAUCAUAGAGGGUGAGAAUCCCGUAUUUGAUCACUUUCUACUAACGUUGUGAUACACUUUCAAAGAGUCGGAUUGUUUGGGAAUGCAGUCCAAAAUGGGUGGUAAAUUUCAUCUAAAGCUAAAUAUUGGCGAGAGACCGAUAGCGAACAAGUACCGUGAGGGAAAGAUGAAAAGAACUUUGAAAAGAGAGUUAAACAGUACGUGAAAUUGUCAAAAGGGAAGCGUUUGACACCAGUGUUGUUUUUCCGAAAAUCAAUUAAGAAUGGCCGGAUUUUAAGUUUCAUGACCUUAAAAGCUUGUUUCUUAUUUUUCUUGUCUUUCUUAAUGCACUUUUCGGCUAACAAGUCAACAUCAAUUUCUUUUGUUGUAAAAGGUUAAGAGGAAGGUGGCUUUACUUUCGGGUAAAGUGUUUAUAGCCUUUUAACUCUGCAAUCGGAGAGAUUGAGGUCUGCAGCGUAGAUCCUUCGGGGCUAGAUACGUUUGUGCUAAGUUAUAGCUUUUCAUAGACAACUUGUUGACUAUGUUUAGUCUUGUAGCUUACUCGCUUAUGGCUAUUUUACCUACGCUUAGGAUGUUGAUAUGCAUGACUGAUAU